CGCGCCUUCCCUCGAGCGCGGGGGCCGGCGAGGGGCUCCGUGGGCCGCGCGGCCGCCUGGCGCCGGGGUACGCCCACGUGGAGUGCUGGUGGCGGGGAGAGGCCGCGGAGCCAGCGGCGAGGAGGUCGGAGUGCGCUGGAGACGCGUCCCGGCUGACGGCUGGGAGAGAUACGGGAAACUUCACUCUUUAUCUCUGCCUUUUGGCUAGCACCUAAUUAGCACACAGGCUUCCUGCAUGCCACCUGUACCUGCCUGUUUCCAGGGGUAAAGGAAGCUACGUUCAAGUCUUGAGAGGAAGUUCAAGAUGGCUGUGUAGAAGAUCCUGAAUUCACCUCCUCCCAUGGACACACAUAUGGAACAAGUCCCUCUGAAAGAGACCUGAAAACUAGCUGAGCAGCUCCUCCACAACAAAGGAUAAAAGAGCCACAUCGAGACAGGGUCAAGGUCUUUGCUUUGUGUGUGGAUCUGUUGUUGGUUGGAGCUCACCUUCGUUUGUUAAACCAUAGAGCAUCAUUCAGAUUCCAGUUUUAGCUUUGUUGAGUGGUGCAAGAACUUAAAGACACGUGCAUGAUAAUGACUUUGGGGAAGGAAGAGAGACUCCAGAACUACUUUGUUCUCUUCAAAGACUGAGCCUCAGGAGAAAAACUGGACCAGUCAACCCUAUGAGAAGUGCCGUGGAAGUGUUAAAGAAAAGGAUCGAGAGGCCAGAAUAUAUGAUAGCAGAAAAGCUUCAGAAGUAUGGAUGAUCUUAGGAUGAGGAAGUUGAGGUGCAAAUAUGCUAAGAUGACUCCUUGUCUCACAGAAGUGUCAGGGCCAGGAUCUGAACCCAGGGAGUCUGGUGCUGAGGAGAACCUUAUCCGCCUUCUAAUGUAUGAUGUGAACACACCAGUAAGGGCUACAAUCAGUCUCCAUCUCCUAAAAUUGUGCUACUCACCAGAUGCACCGACAUCACCUGGGAGCUUAUGAAAAAUACAGCAUCUCAUCCUCACCACAGACCUACCAAAUUUUAAUUUGCAUUUUAAGAAGAUCCCCAGCUUCCGGCCCUGGACUUCAGACCCACUCUUGUCAUGAAUCGCAACUUGUUACCUCUUGGAUCCUGAACUAAGUCUGACGGUAAAUGCCGUAUUCGUGUGACCCCCCGUGAGCAUGGAGUGCUUCUUCUGUAAGUCACCACAUGUUGGGGCC